rnacentral:rRNA from 1 species
AGAGUUUGAUCCUGGACUCAGAACGAACGCUGGCGGCAUGCCUAACACAUGCAAGUCGAACGAGACCUUCGGGUCUAGUGGCGCACGGGUGCGUAACGCGUGGGAACCUGCCUUAGGUUCGGAAUAACUCAGAGAAAUUUGAGCUAAUACCGGAUAAUGUCUUCGGACCAAAGAUUUAUCGCCUUUAGAUGGGCCCGCGUAAGAUUAGCUAGUUGGUGGGGUAAAGGCCUACCAAGGCGACGAUCUUUAGCUGGUCUGAGAGGAUGAUCAGCCACACUGGGACUGAGACACGGCCCAGACUCCUACGGGAGGCAGCAGUGGGGAAUAUUGGACAAUGGGCGAAAGCCUGAUCCAGCAAUGCCGCGUGAGUGAUGAAGGCCUUAGGGUUGUAAAGCUCUUUUACCCGAGAUGAUAAUGACAGUAUCGGGAGAAUAAGCUCCGGCUAACUCCGUG